rnacentral:rRNA from 1 species
AAUUGACGGGGGCCCGCACAAGCGGUGGAGCAUGUGGUUUAAUUCGAUGCAACGCGAAGAGCCUUACCUGGUCUUGACAUCCACGGAAGUUUUCAGAGAUGAGAAUGUGCCUUCGGGAACCGUGAGACAGGUGCUGCAUGGCUGUCGUCAGCUCGUGUUGUGAAAUGUUGGGUUAAGUCCCGCAACGAGCGCAACCCUUAUCCUUUGUUGCCAGCGGUCCGGCCGGGAACUCAAAGGAGACUGCCAGUGAUAAACUGGAGGAAGGUGGGGAUGACGUCAAGUCAUCAUGGCCCUUACGACCAGGGCUACACACGUGCUACAAUGGCGCAUACAAAGAGAAGCGACCUCGCGAGAGCAAGCGGACCUCAUAAAGUGCGUCGUAGUCCGGAUUGGAGUCUGCAACUCGACUCCAUGAAGUCGGAAUCGCUAGUAAUCGUGGAUCAGAAUGCCACGGUGAAUACGUUCCCGGGCCUUGUACACACCGCCCGUCACACCAUGGGAGUGGGUUGCAAAAGAAGUAGGUAGCUUAACCUUCGGGAGGGCGCUUACCACUUUGUGAU